GACGAACGCUGGCGGCGUGCUUAACACAUGCAAGUCGAACGGAAAGGCCCCUUUUUGGGGGUACUCGCGUGGCGUACGGGUGAGUAACACGUGAGUAACCUCCCCUUGACUCUGGGAUAACUUCAGGAAACUCUGGCUCAUACCGCAGAGGAGCUCCUGCUGCAUGGGGGGGGUUGGACAGUUUCGGCGGUUGGGGAUGGACUCGCGGCUUAUCAGCUUGUUGGUGGGGUAGUGGCUUACCAAGGCUUUGACGGGUAGGCGGCCUGAGAGGGUGACCGGCCACAUUGGGACUGGGAUACGGGCCAGAACUCUACGGGGGGGAGGAGUGGGGGAUAAUGCAACAUGGGGGGAAGGCUGAUGGAGGAACGGCGUGGGCGGGGUGGAGGGCUUCCGGUUUUAAACCGCCUUCCCUCAGGGCGAAAGUGUGUGUGACGGUAGUGGGUAAAGAAGCACCGGCUAACUACGUG
rnacentral:rRNA from 1 species